AUCGCGGAUCAACAAUCCGCGGUGAAUAUGCCCCUGCUCCUUGCACACACCGCCCGUCAAACCACCCGAGUUGGGUUUCAGUAAGGAUAUCUCAUUUUGGGGUCUUCGAACUGAGAUUCAGCAAGGAGGGUUAAGUCGUAACAAGGUAUCUGUAGGGGAACCUGCAGAUGGAUCACCUCCUACGCAA
rnacentral:rRNA from 1 species